UUUACAGAGCCAAUUUGGCAUCCUGGCCGCCUCCAAACGCUUGUGGGCGCCAAWUCAGAAGAAUUGGUAUAUAUGGAGGUGGACAGAAUGCCAAAAUGGCUCUGUAAU
rnacentral:pre_miRNA from 11 species